UGUGCAUUCAUGAGGUGAAUUCCUUGGAAGAUGAGGGCCAAGUCUUAUUCUUCUCAGUCUCUUCUGCAUCUAGCAGAAGAAUAAUGGUUGCACAGAAAAUCUUGGUUCAGUGGUUGAGUGAAUGAAUGGAUGAACAGGCUCUUGCACACAAAGAAGAGACAUGAUGUAUUUGCAUCCUUCCCUGCUUCAGCCAGUUUUCUGAAGCUCAGAGGGACACCUUGUAUUGCUGGAUGAUAAAAACAGGAGCAAAGUGAUGAAGUGCUGACAAGGCAACAAUAGAACAUGAGAGAUUCACUGCUGUGUAGGAAGAGAUCUUCGGUGACCAUGUAGCCUGAAGCUCUCAUUUUGUCAUCGAGGGACACCAAAACUCAGAACAGUGCUAAGCUCCUACAUCCUGUUCUGGAAGGACAAUCCUGAGCACACGAUGAGCCAUAUAAACUUCAGACUGACGCUGAGUGAAAGAAUGCUGGAAAAGCAUCACAGGCCAGGGCAGCAAAGUCUUCAAGGUCAUCCGUGCUCUGAUGAUGUCACGCUUCUUCCCUGUCUGGAAGACAUUUCCCCAAGAGCAUACCACCAACAUCAGGGAAAUGGAAUCCAACUGGUCGCUGCAAAGUUUGCUGAGCACACAGUGAUAAAGAUGGCAAGAAGGUCCUGAGAGAAACGCAAUAUUUUUGUGCAGAAUGGGAUGUUCUGCCUUUGUCCCAUGCUUUGAA
rnacentral:lncRNA from 1 species